UAGGGAAUCUUCGGCAAUGGACGAAAGUCUGACCGAGCAACGCCGCGUGAGUGAAGAAGGUUUUCGGAUCGUAAAACUCUGUUGUUAGAGAAGAACGUUGCAUAGAGUGGAAAAUUAUGCAAGUGACGGUAUCUAACCAGAAAGGGACGGCUAACUACGUGCCAGCAGCCGCGGUAAUACGUAGGUCCCGAGCGUUGUCCGGAUUUAUUGGGCGUAAAGCGAGCGCAGGUGGUUUAAUAAGUCUGAUGUAAAAAGGCAGUGGCUCAACCAUUGUGUGCAUUGGAAACUGUUAGACUUGAGUGCAGUAGAGGAGAGUGGAAUUCCAUGUGUAGCGGUGAAAUGCGUAGAUAUAUGGAGGAACACCGGUGGCGAAAGCGGCUCUCUGGACUGUCACUGACACUGAGGCUCGAAAGCGUGGGUAGCAAACAGGAUUAGAUACCCUGGUAGUCCACGCCGUAAACGAUGAGUGCUAGUUGU
rnacentral:rRNA from 1 species